rnacentral:rRNA from 1 species
GACGUAGGGCGCGAGCGUUGUCCGGAUUUAUUGGGCGUAAAGAGCUCGUAGCGGCUUGUUACGUCGACUGUGAAACCCGCGGCUCAACCGUGUGGUCUGCAGUCGAUACGGGCAGGCUAGAAUUCGGUAGGGGAGACUGGAAUUCCUGGUGUAGCGGUGAAAUGCGUAGAUAUCCGGAGGAACACCGGUGGCGAAGGCGGCUUUCUGGACCGACACUGACGCUGAGGCGCGAAAGCUAGGGGAGCAAACGGG